rnacentral:rRNA from 1 species
AACGUACGCUGGCGGCACGCCUAACACAUGCAAGUCGAACGAAGUAGCAAUACUUAGUGGCAGACGGGUGAGUAACAUGUAGGUAUCUGCCCUAUGGCCUGGAAUAACACGAGGAAACUUGCGCUAAUACCGGAUAAGUCUUUACGGAGAAAGCUUUAUGCACCAUUGGAUGAGCCUGCACUUGAUUAGUUUGUUGGUGGGGUAAUGGCCUACCAAGACUGUGAUCAAUAGCUGAUUUGAGAGGAUGAUCAGCCACAUUGGGACUGAGACACGGCCCAAACUCCUACGGGAGGCAGCAGUGGGGAAUCUUGCACAAUGGAGGAAACUCUGAUGCAGCGAUGCCGCGUGAGUGAAGAAGGCCUUUGGGUUGUAAAGCUCUUUCGUCGGGGAAGAAAAUGACUGUACCCGAAUAAGAAGGUCCGGCUAACUUCGUGCCAGCAGCCGCGGUAAUACGAAGGGACCUAGCGUAGUUCGGAAUUACUGGGCUUAAAGAGUUCGUAGGUGGUUGAAAAAGUUGGUGGUGAAAUCCCAGAGCUUAACUCUGGAACUGCCAUCAAAACUUUUCAGCUAGAGUAUGAUAGAGGAAAGCAGAAUUUCUAGUGUAGAGGUGAAAUUCGUAGAUAUUAGAAAGAAUACCAAUUGCGAAGGCAGCUUUCUGGAUCAUUACUGACACUGAGGAACGAAAGCAUGGGUAGCGAAGAGGAUUAGAUACCCUCGUAGUCCAUGCCGUAAACGAUGUGUGUUAGACGUUGGAAAUUUAUUUUCAGUGUCGCAGCGAAAGCGAUAAACACACCGCCUGGGGAGUACGACCGCAAGGUUAAAACUCAAAUGAAUUGACGGGGACCCGCACAAGUAGUGGAGCAUGUGGUUUAAUUCGAAGAUACGCGCAGAACCUUACCAACACUUGACAUGUUCGUCGCGACUUUAAGAGAUUAAAGUUUUCGGUUCGGCCGGACGAAACACAGGUGCUGCAUGGCUGUCGUCAGCUCGUGUCGUGAGAUGUUGGGUUAAGUCCCGCAACGAGCGCAACCCUCACUUUUAGUUGCCAUCAUUAAGUUGGGCACUCUGAAAGAACUGCCAGUGAUAAGCUGGAGGAAGGUGGGGAUGACGUCAAGUCCUCAUGGCCCUUACGUGUUGGGCUACACACGUGCUACAAUGGUAUCUACAACAGGAAGCAAGACGGCGACGUUUAGCAAAUCCUUAAAAGAUACCUCAGUUCGGAUUGCACUCUGCAACUCGAGUGCAUGAAGCUGGAAUUACUAGUAAUCGUGGAUCAGCGUGCCACGGUGAAUGCGUUCCCGGGUCUUGUACACACCGCCCGUCACACCAUGGGAGUUGGUUCUACCUUAAGGCAAGGUUUCAAACCCUUGACCACGGUAUAGUCAGCGACUGAGGUG